UACGUAGGGGGCAAGCGUUGUCCGGAUUUACUGGGCGUAAAGAGCGUGUAGGCGGCCACGCAGGUCCGUUGUGAAAACUGGAGGCUCAACCUCCAGCUGUCGACGGAAACCGUGUGGCUAGAGUCCGGAAGAGGAGAGUGGAAUUCCUGGUGUAGCGGUGGAAUGCGCAGAUAUCAGGAGGAACACCGAUGGCGAAGGCAGAUCUCUGGGCCGUAACUGACGCUGAGGAGCGAAAGCGUGGGGAGCGAACAGG
rnacentral:rRNA from 1 species